rnacentral:rRNA from 1 species
UACGUAGGGGGCGAGCGUUGUCCGAAUUUACUGGGCGUAAAGAGCGCGUAGGCGGACUCUUAAGUGAGAGGUGAAAGGUUCAGGGCUCAACCCGAACAGUGCCUUUCAUACUGGGAGUCUUGAGUGUGGGAGAGGCAAGUGGAAUUUCUGGUGUAGCGGUGAAAUGCGUAGAUAUCAGAAGGAACACCCAUGGCGAAGGCAGCUUGCUGGCCUACAACUGACGCUGAGGCGCGAAAGCGUGGGUAGCAAACAGG